AAUGGUGGAUGCCCCUCCCCCAGCCAGGCUUGCCGCCUCACAGUUCGAUCUCAGACUAGCAGUGAGCAAGGCUCUGUGGGCAUGGGACCUGCUGAGCCAGGUGCAGGAUAUAAUCUCCUGGUGUGCCAUUUGCCAAGACUUUUGGAAAAGCACAGUGUUUAGGUGGCAGUGUUCUGAUUUUCCUGGUACAGUCUGUCAUGGCUUCCCUUGGCUAGGAAAGGGAAAUCCCCCGACCCCUUGCGCUUCCCGGGUGAGGCGAUGCCCCGCCCUUCUUCGGCUCACCCUCCGUGGGCUGCACCCACUUUCCAACUAGUCCCAAUGAGGUGAACCAGGUACCUCAGUUGGAAAUGCAAAAAUCACCCAUCUUCUGCGUUGAUCGUGCUGGGAGCUGCAGACCGGAGCUGUUCCUAUUUGGCCAUCUUGGAAUGGACCUCUAAUUUUUGUAUUUUUAGUAGAGACAGGGUUUCACCAUGUUUCCCAGGCUGGUCUCAAACUCAUGACCUCAAAUGAUCUGCCGCCUCAGCCUCCCAAUCCUAUUCAACCAUCUUGGAACAGACCUCUAAUUUUUGUAUUUUUAGUAGAGACAGGGUUUCACCAUGUUGCCCAGGCUGGUCUCGAACUCUUGACCUCAAGUGAUCCACUGCCUCAGCCUCUCAAAGUGCUGGUAUUACUGGUGUAAGCUACUGCACCCAGCCACAGCAAUGCUUUCUAAAAUUCAUUUUCCUCUCCUCAUAUCCCUGCAACCUAUUCUAAAGUCACUCUUCAACCUUCAACUGUAUGGCUUUCCUUAUGCCUCCCUGGUUCUCUCUCCUUCUCAAUUCCUCUUUAUUGAAUAGAUCAACUUAAACUCUCUUGCUUCACCUUGGUCUGUUUAUUUCUUCUCUUUUCCUAUUCUCAAAAGCUCCAUAUUCAAGCUGGCAGACAGAGCUCUCCUUUGAGUGCAGGGAAGUAACUCUCAUAAAAUAAAUCUUGUCCUCAAAACAUAUUCAAAAUCACAGAACAAUAAGUUGAAUUUCAUAAUCAUAGAAUUGCAGAAGAAUCAUUUUGUAUAUUGCUGUGGAAAAAUUGUAGACUUCUUUUUGAGCAGGAAUCCCAAACUCAAAUGCCCACAGGAAGAAGACAAGGAAGAGGGUCUAGAGGAGAUAUACUAUGAGGACAUGGAGUCCUUCACAAUCUCCAGUGGAAACACUUAUUUUGUCUUUGUACCCCUGGAAGAAGAGCAUUGUAGGAAGUCCCAUUCCACCUUCUCAGCCAUGUUCAUCAACGACACUUCCAGUGCCAAGUUCAUAGAACAAGUGACAAUUCCAUCGAGACUAAUUUUAGAAAUUAAGAAACACCGGGCAUGGUGGUGUGUGCCUGUAAUUCCAGCUACUCAAGAGGCUGAAGCAGGAGAAUCGCCUGAACCCAGGAGGCGGAGGUUACAGUGAACCAAGAGAGUGCUGCUGCACUCCUGACUGGGAGACAGAGUGAAACUCCGUCUCAAAAAAAAAUUAAAUUAUAUAUUCUAUAUAAGGCUUUGUCAGAUAAAUAAAUGGCAAAUGUUCAUCCCCUCUCUGCACUUGCCUUUUUAAACUCUCUU
rnacentral:lncRNA from 1 species